rnacentral:lncRNA from 1 species
GUCAAAGAAAAGGCAGACAUUCUUAAUCCCCUAAUCACUGCAGUAUUUCUAGAGGCAUCAAAUAGUGCUUCCUAUAUUCAGGAUGCCUUUCAGCUGCUCUUACCUGUGCUGGAGAUCUCUCUCAUUGAGAACAAAACCGAACUGCCAGAGGCAUGAGCUGCAGGCCCAGGGUCUUUGUCAGAACAUUGAAGAACAGAGAAGAUUCAGCCCAAAACUUGUGACAGCCAAGAAAUGCCACUCUCUUUUAGGGGAAAGGCUUGGAGGUUCCUGUCUGGUGAUAAAUACCUGUAGGGGAGCAUCUGGGCACAUUAUCCGAAGCCACUAG